AUUAGAAUUUAGCUUAGAUAUCUAAUUCAUGGAAGAAGUGAUACUUUUUACUAGUAUUCAGGUGACCAAUAGGGCCCAUGGGCCUCUUGUUCAACAGUAGGUCAACUCCAAGGUUAAGGUCACAUUGUAAAAAAUGAAAUAUAAAUACCCUAUCGAUCACCACCCAUUCAAAACUAUAUGCCUCUGAGUCUCCGAUUACGGAAGCAUAAAAAUAAACCAGAAGAAAAAACAUAUUUUUUCCCUUAAAUUUCAACACUGCCACGAAGUAGGUCACAGAUGAGUUUGUGGUAAUAAUGUAUAUAUUCAAAGGCAGACUGGGCAGUAACAACUAAAUGAAACAACAUGUGUCUUUAACUAGUUGCAAACGACAAACAAUGGAUUUCACUAGUCUAGAAAUGAAGCAGAAUACACACAGUGAAUGUAAUAUUCUGUUGACUGAUUUAUAGACUACAAUUACUCUUUAAAUGCCAUAAAUAAUAAGACCCGGGGUACUGUGGUCCCACUCUGGGGACACACAAAUUGAAAAAUAUUGAAUCUAACCAUAAAAUAACCGCCAAUAAUUUUGACAUGGUUAUAAAAGAAAACAAGAGGCCCACAAGCAUUAUUGGUCACCUGAGUAUUAGUUGAAAGUAUCAAUAUAGUCCCAUUAAGGGCUAUAAAACCUAGAAAAAAAAUUCCUGUUCUAAAUAUCUAAGCUAAAUUCUAAUAUUCAGCAACAGUUUAAAGCAAGAUAUCUUCUUUUAACUUAAACACCCUCGAAAGUGCAUAUACAUGUACUGAUGAAAGGCUAAAUUACAUGAUAUAUUAUAUAUAUGUAAAAAUAAACGAUAUUACCAAUUAGGACCCAUCCUAGAGUCAAAUUUAAACCCUGCAUGAGGUUGUGAAAUUCACCAUUUUUGCACAUUAAUUCUUUUCUGAUUUUCCUAAUUAUGCAUUUAGUUUUUUUCAUACUCUAUCAGCAAACUUAAAGAUGUUCUUCAAAUGAGAAAGACAAUAAUCACUGUCAUGAUCGUGUGCAGGAUUGGACAAAAGAAGAUGGCAGACGGCAUUUCCAAACAAAGGUAUCAAGUCCAAGAACUUCAUUCCAUGAGAUGGGUACACUUCGAAUGUGCGAAAUUUGUGGUGAGGAAUUCAAGACCAAUUCUGAAUUGCGUAGGCAUGUAAAAAGGAAACAUCAAUCAGAGAAAUUGUCUUCGUUUGUGACCAGUGCAACACACGCUUUUGCACAUUAUAAAAGAAACAUGAAGUAAAAAAAAUUACAUUGUUUUCUGAAUACACGAAGUGCAUACAUAUACCAUGGCAGCCGUUUUUUAUAUCCGUUUAUGUACAUUAUGAAACGAUUAUUUUUACGGUAUUAUGCUUUGUUUUACAGAGAUACUAAUCCUUUACAUUACAUUUUACACAUGUUGAUUUGUUAUUUCAUUGAACCAGAAGUGUUCUUAAUUUUUACUUGUUAUUAAAUAU